UUUUACCAAAUGCUUUAUCAUAUACAUAAAAUAAAGUGUAUGUAGAACUUUUAGUUAUCAUAAUCACACAGUUAAAGCAUACGAUUUCUUUUCCUCUUGGGUUGCAGAAUGAUCUAGUUUUGGAUAAAGGCGUGCUUCAUUUGGACUUGGCUGAACAGGAACACGUUCAUCCACAACUUCUUCUUCGAGGUGUGACCGUUCACAUUAUGUUUCCCAAAUAAGCAUCCGACCUCCUUAUAUUUCACAUUAUGUUUCAUUUAGACUUGGCUGAACAGGAACAUGUUCAUCCACAACUUCUUCCUCGAGGCGUGACCGUUCACAUUAUCUUUCCCAAAUAAACAUCCGACCUUAUAUUUCCCAGUUAAGUAUCCAGCUACUAGAACAUUAACCCCUGCCUGUUGUGAAUCCGUGGCUUUUAAUCUCUGCCUUAAUUUUUUUUAUAAAUUAAAGGACUGAAUCUUCUCAUCAAUUACCUGGUCAAAUCAAUAAGACAAAAAAAGUAUUUCAAUCUUUGGUUCUAAUGCCUUAUAUCUUUAUAGCAUCAUAGUUCUAGGAUCUAUACUUUGGAUUAUAGAAUCUCGGUAAUAAAUAUUUAUUAUAGUCACAGAUGAUGAUUUUCUUAGAUAUUAUAUUUUUUUUUAUUUUCUCCACAUGGAUUUUUGACAAUCGUUAGUGUCCAGCU
rnacentral:lncRNA from 1 species